rnacentral:rRNA from 1 species
GACGAACGCUGGCGGCGUGCUUAACACAUGCAAGUCGAACGGAAAGGCCCUGCUUUUGUGGGGUGCUCGAGUGGCGAACGGGUGAGUAACACGUGAGUAACCUGCCCUUGACUUUGGGAUAACUUCAGGAAACUGGGGCUAAUACCGGAUAGGAGCUCCUGCUGCAUGGUGGGGGUUGGAAAGUUUCGGCGGUUGGGGAUGGACUCGCGGCUUAUCAGCUUGUUGGUGGGGUAGUGGCUUACCAAGGCUUUGACGGGUAGCCGGCCUGAGAGGGUGACCGGCCAGAUUGGGAAUGAGAUACGGCCCAGACGCCUACGGGAGGCAGCAGUGGGGAAUAUUGCACAAUGGGCGGAAGGCUGAUGCAGCAACGCGGCGGGGGGGAUGAGGGCGUGAGGGUUGUAAACCGCUUUGGCCUGUGACGAAGCGUGAGUGACGGUAAGGGGGAAAGAAGCACCGGAUAACUACGU